UGCUCCUCCGCGCUCCCCACUCUGCUACAGCAGCCGGGCCGCAUCUGGACUGCGUGCUCCGCGGCGGGGCCGACACCAGGUGAGCACAGGCUAGGACAACGGGUCCCCGGGCGGGAGAAUGUGCCCGGCCGAGUCCGGGGAAGGUGGCGGUACCGGUCUGGGGUGGGGGGCGCGCCCUGCUGCUCUGUCUCCUUGCCGGGCGCUCUGCUACCCUGGCUUUUCUGGGGGUCAAGGCGGUCCGCAGUGACCCGGGCUCGCGGCCCGGGAGAUCUGGGCAUCCCGUUCCCUCCUCGUCCCAUCCCCCAGCCUUCCGGGACGGGUCCUUGUCUUUUGCCCUGGCGGGCUCUGUUAGUCCAGAGGUCUGAGGACCUUGGAGACCCUUGGCAUUGGAGUUGGAGGCGCUGGUUCGGUCCCCCUCCCGGCUUUUGCUUUUCGUGUGGAGGAGGGAGAGAUGGUGUAAGGGUUCCCUGUGGUCCAGACCAUGUCUUCGUCCUGGCUUGGAGAAUCUCAGGCUACCUCAUAGACGUGACCUUCAGCCCCUCCCCAGGAACAGGAGAACCUGAAGGAAAACAGUCCCAUCUGCUGCCCCUUGAGCAAGUCUGUAAAGCACCAGGAAUAGAAUCCAAGAGUCCUAAUCUCAGCCCUGCCAGCCGUUCCUCUCCCCUUAAGCCCCAAUCCCCUAAGAUUCAUCUGAGUGGCUUGCUGAGUGUGUUUGUGGGGGUGACUUCAAGCCCCUCUUCCUCUCCCUCAAUCACCUUUCCCCUCUGUGCGGUCACCUCUCAGGCACCUCCAGGCUCUCACCUGUUUUCUCCAUCGCCCUCUGUGGGCCAACAGAGGCAUGGCACUGCCUGGACCUAUGGGCAGGGACUGAGCAGGACCCCUUCUCAAGAAGUUGCCCCUUUGGGUGUUGUGGCUUGGCCUGAUCAUCCACAGAAACUCCGUAGGUCUCUGGGUGGGGAGUCGAGCCCGAGGCACUCAAGUCAAUACCCGCUUCAAGGCAUUUUGGUUGGGAUCCUGGAUGUCAGGAGAGUGGACUGUCUUCUUUUGGUUGGAAGGGCCUCUAAGAGCAAUUCUCAUUACACCCAUUGCACAGAGGGGAAGACUAAGGACUGA
rnacentral:lncRNA from 1 species